rnacentral:rRNA from 1 species
AUUGUUAGACACUAAUUAAGUUCUUUGGUCGGUUAGAGAGUGGGCAUGCGUGACUAUUAGCUUAGGUUAGGGUAAAGGGUAACGGUCCUUAACCGAAGGACAACGAUGUCGUAGGGGGUCUGAGAGGAUUAUCCCCCCACACUGGUACUGAGACACGGACCAGACUCCUACGGGAGGCAGCAGUGAGGAAUAUUGGUCAAUGGACGCAAGUCUGAACCAGCCAUGCCGCGUGCAGGAAGACGGCCCUACGGGUUGUAAACUGCUUUUAUAUAGGAAUAAACCCCUGAACGUGUUCGGGGCUGAAGGUACUAUAUGAAUAAGGAUCGGCUAACUCCGUG